UAGUAUGGGCCCUAGCUAAACUGC
rnacentral:piRNA from 1 species